ensembl:lncRNA
CCUCCUGAAGCCUUAGUUCCGCCGCGAGUAACGGUCCGUGGGAAUUAACAACCUUCGCGCCAGCGAAGAGCAAGAUGGUGCUGAAAACCAGCUGUUGACGUGGCUCGGGAAAGCGCCCGCUAAGCAAGGAGAGCGUCCUGGAGGAAGCUCGCCCUGGCCCGGGACCUGGGAGGAGUGCGCUAAAUGCAGUGGGUGCGUUCAGCCUGACCGUUGAUUUAUCCACGCGCAGCAGAUCCGCUCACGUUGUGCUGAGGCUGCCGACAUAUUUUAGUGUUCCAGAACUAGAAGGGGAAGUGAAAUAAUCUUGGCACUUUGAAGUGAUUUGAGCGCUGAGCAGCACUGUGAAUGGUUGCGUUUACGCAGCGUGUGGAGAGGUGGAUACCUGCUUGUUUUCUUAUCCCGGAAACCUCUGUCCCUAACGGGUGACGUCUGCGGGGUGAGGGCCGGGCAGCACUGUGAAGUGCGCACUCGCACUGUUUCUCCCUCCUCUUGCACUUCUCUCUACGAGAGAAUUGAAUCAUUAUUAAAGUCUAAGUGACUGGUAAAACUGUAGCCACUCCUGGGAGAUUUUGCAUUUUUAGAGUUUUCCAAAUCAUAAUCCGCAGCAGUGGUGGAAACCAUCUCAUAAACCAAGCAAGAUGUAGGGGAGCUUUUUUGGGGGCAGGUUGUGAGUUCACCAGAACCGUCUGGAACCGCAAGUCUAGGUAGUCACGUAUUGUAAGUCUGACGCUGGUCGUUUCUUAUUGCCUUAGUUUUCUUACCUAUAAAAAUGAGUAGCACCACUCAGUGCCCACCCACCCCUAGAUCUAAAAUGAAAGUAAAUGUAAUCUUGAUGGGAUGGCUUCAACAGAGGGAUACUCUGUUGAUUUCGGGUACCUUGGUGCAGCGGAAGUUUGAAGGAAGUCCGGCCUAUUUUGUGGGUUGAAUCCACGCAGUUCUUGAUUCCCAUUCUGUGACAUCUCAUUCUUAAAUUAUUAAAAUGACACUUUUUUAUCUUGGGAUGUUAUUUUGAAAGACUAUAUAAUGUCUUAAUGAGUCCUUAGUGCCUUCAAGCAGUAACUUUGUUUUAAUGGAACAAAUUCUUAAUACAACCUAUAUCAAUUAUCCAAUCUCUUCAAUGGCUGAGUUUUCCUCUGCUUGGUUGCACACACAGAGACUUUUGCAUUAUUGAGAAAUUAGAUGUGACGAUGCAUACUUGACAAGGUGGGGUAGUUCAGAAAGUAAGGGCUGGAAAGGAGCUGGGAACUAGAAACAGGAAAGCAAAAAAUAAAUUAUUUAUAGGCUGAUAGUACAUUGAAGUUGAAAGGGAUCCCAGUCCAACCUUCUCUCCAUCACGAGUCUCCCUCCUGGCAGAUGCUCAGUAAUAGCUUUCAUUGUUGUCAGUCACUUCUCACUGUUUCUGUGUGAAAUCAUUUAAAUGACAAAUCACUUGGUAUAAGGUCCACACGUUUUCCUUUGUUUUGCCGUGUUUUUAUGAAUAUAUGUAAUGCGUUCUCCGGGCAUUUUGAAAUGAACUGGACAAUUAGUAGCUUUAUAUAGAUUACCACCCAACCUAAAUUAUUUUGCUUUUCUAUCUCCUCACUUUCUCACUACUCUUUGACUUCCGGGGCACAAUUACCUGCACUCUUCUUGAUUUUCUUUUCUUUGCCCCAUUGUCUUUAAUCUUUUUUGUGAUAUUACAAUAACUAAGAUCUAUUUGACACAAGUUUUUAGCAUGUAUCAUCUUAUUUCUCGUCACAAUCCAAUGAGGCAAGUACUAUUAUUACCCCUAUAUUCAUAUGAGGAAACUGAGGCAUAGAGAUGUCAGAUAAUUUACCCAAAG